AAUCAACGCUGGCGGCGUGCCUCAGACAUGCAAGUCGAACGAUUAAAGCUCUCUUCGGAGAGUGUAUAGAGUGGCGCACGGGUGAGUAACACGUAAGUAAUCUACCUUUGAGUGGGGAAUAACAGUCGGAAACGGCUGCUAAUACCGCAUAACGCAGCGGCACCGCAAGGUGACAGUUGUUAAAGGAGCAAUCCGCUUAAAGAGGAGCUUGCGGCAGAUUAGCUUGUUGGUAAGGUAACGGCUUACCAAGGCUACGAUCUGUAUCCGGUCUAAGAGGACGGUCGGACACACUGACACUGAAUAACGGGUCAGACUCCUACGGGAGGCAGCAGUCGGGAA
rnacentral:rRNA from 1 species